UUUAGAGUGAAAGCCCUCCCCAGCCAAUCAUGUGCAAGCUCAGGCACUCGGUUAAUGAUGCAGCAGUACAGGGAAGACUAUCACAUGUGAGCUGGAAGGCUGCCAACAUGGAGACACGCAGAGAGCAAGCUAAUCAUUUGAGCUCUGCAGGACUAGACAGCAGCAAAGGAUUUCCCUCUAAAAUGUUCCUAAGGAUGUGGGCAAUGUUCCCUGAACCUCAGGCAAUGAAUUAAUCCCUUCUCUACCACUGUACGGCCCUACACCAUCUCGACAACCAUCAGGAAGAAGCAGAAAAAAGGUCUGCACCUGUGAAUUCAGCACGGCGGCUGCGGGCUGGUUCAGAAGCGACGGCUGAAUUUAGGAUCUGGGCGGCGCUUACGUGCCUCUUGAACCGGUUUACACCAUUUGCAUCAUCAGCGCAGCCUCUCAUUGCCUCGGCAACUACAGGAGCGAGCAGAGCAGUACAGAACAGAACAUUUCCCUCCCCCGGGGAGCUCGGCGUUCUUUUCCCCCCUCCCCCCCCCCGCACUUAGGCAGGCUCGAGCUGUUCUCCUUCCGACCGGCUCCACCACGUGGCUGCCCAUCUUAACUGGGCCGCGCACUCGUGACAGCUUGCCAAACGAAAACAACACAAAAUGACCCCGUCGCUCUGCGGGCAGCAACGCUGCUCCGACGCAUUCCAAGCCCGGGAUCAGGAAGCGACCCACUAAACGUGGGCAGAAACGUUAGCCUUUGCUCGCCAUGGGCAAGGAGCCAAAACGUACUCCUUGCAGGUUUUUCUUCUCUCUCCGACAAGCAAAACAAAGACGCCCAGAUGUUUCAGAUCUUUAUGGGGAGAUUCAAAAGUGAGCAGACCCCGCGCUAGUCAUUCGAUUGGUGAUCUUACCUCCCUAGCGGCGUUCAUUUAUAUGCCGUCUUUAACUAUCUAUCUCCUCUCUUCCUCUGACGCACUUCAGUGUCUCGGACUGCCAUUCCUAUACAGUUCUUCCGCUGUAUUGAGUUUCAAAUUACAGAUAUUGUUUUCCAGCGUGAUAGUCAAACUCCUCCUUUGUAAUUCUCUGGCUCUAGCGUAUUGCAUAAACAGCGCCGGGGGUCACUCCUUCAAAUGAGGCACAGAAAUAUUUUUGUUUACUUCCCUCUGCCAUGUCUUUUAACUGGUUCCUUUCUCAACCCCAGAACGCCAACUGCGUCAGAUGGUGGAAAUCGAGAACACCUUUCUGUAUACCGCCUACUAGCUGCGUUCGUUCCCCCACCCGUUUUUUUUAAGCACGUCCAGGCGUGGAGGCGAAGCAGGACAUCUCCCCAGCAAAAGUACAGCCCGACCCUUAAAAAGCACAAGAACUUCCUGCCUCCCACCGUUCUCCUCGUUUAUUUCGAGAACGAACAAGUCCUGGACUGAUUGCAGGCAUAAGAAAGAAGUAUCGCUUUUCCCCAGGUUGACACACGCUCUUGAGCUUCUCACCCAGUUCAU